ACGAAACGGCUCAAUCGGCAUGUUGCAAGCCGGUCAGUUAUUAAGAUGUGUAAGUCAUAUAGAUGCAGACAGUAGCUGAGACACAUGAAAAACCAAAAUAGUAUGACAUGAUAACACACAGCAAAGCUGGGAUGGACGUCUAAAAUUGGCAAAAGGACCUCGGGCCAUUAUGUCGACAGCCGGCCAAUUAUUCGAAAUUUUCAGGCAAAAAACAUUUCAGUCUGGCAUAUUUUGACAUGUUGUCCUUUCAACAAUCAGAAUCUAUAGUGUACAAUUUGCAUCUACAAAGUAGAAGAAUAUGUACAAAUUGAAAAUGUGAAUUGUGAACAUAAGGCUCGAUUUCGUGUUCCCUGCCCGAGUUGUAAUGAGUUUGUGAAUGCUUUUGAUAGUUAUUUAUACCAACAAACAUUAAAAGAUGUUUUUUGACUUUUAUAACAUGCAUUUUGUAAGCACUGAAUUUAAUUAUUUAUUGAAGAAAGGUGAUAAACAUAUUGCAGAAAGGUGUAAAACAUAAUAAAUAUUGAUUGAUAA